GGACUUUUGGGUUGAAAAAGGGGGAUUUUGGUCAGAUGGGAUUUUGUGGGUGAAAAAAAGGGCGAUUUUUGGGGUCAGAAAGGUGAUUUUGGGGUCAGAACAUGGGGAUUGUGGGUGAAAAAGGGGGAUUUGUGGGGGGGUCAAUGGGAUUUUGGGUGAAAAGGGGGAUUUUGGGGUCAGAAAAGGGCGAUUUUGGGUCAGAAUGGGGAUUUGAGGGGGAUUUGGGUUGAAAAAAGGGGGAUUGGGUCAAAUGGGGUUUUGGGUGAAAAAGGGGGAUUUUGGGGUAUGAAUGGGUGAGUUUGGGGUGAAAAUGGGGGAUUUUGGGGUCAGAAAAAAGGGGUUUUGGGGUCAGAAAUGGAGAUUUCUGGAGGGGAUUUUGGUGAAAAAGGCGAUUUUGGGUCAAGGAAUGGGGAGAUUUGGGGUGAAAAAGGGGAUUUUAUGGGGGGGAUAUUGGGGUGAAAAAGGGGGAUUGGGGUCAAUGGGAUUUUGGGGUCAAAAUAAGGGCCAUUUUGGGGUCAAAAAGGGGAAAUUUGUGGUCAAAAAGGGCGAUUUUGGGUUGAAAAAGGGCGAUUUUGGGGGUCAGAAAUAAGGGAUUGUUGAGGGUCAGAAAUGGGGAUUUUGGGUUUGAAAAAAGGCCAUUUUGGAUCAAUGGGAUUUUUUUGGGUGAAAGGGGGGAUUUUGGUCAGAAAUGGGGAUUUUUGAAGGGGGAUUUUGGGUUGAAAAAGGGGGAUUUGGGGUCAAAUGGGGUUUGGGGUGAAAAAGGGCCAUUUUGGGUCAAGAAUGGGAGAUUUUGGGGGAAAAGGGGAUUUUGGGGUCAGAAAAGGGGAUUUGGGUGAAAAAGGGGGAUUUUGGGGUCAAUGGAUUAUGGGGUCAAAAAGGCCAAUUUUGGGUAAUGGGGUUUUGGUUUAAAGAGGAGAUUUUGGGGUCAAAAAGGGAAUUUGGGGUCAAAAAUGGGUGAUUUUUGGGUUGAAAAAGGGGAUUUUGGGGUCACUGGGGUUUAGGGUGAAAAAGGGGAUUUUGGUGGGGGUUUUGGGUCAAAAAGGGGGAUUUUGGGUCCAAUGGGGUUUUGGUGAAAAAGGGAUUUGGGGUCAAUGGGAUUUUGGGGGUCAAUGGGAUUUUGGGUCAAAAAGGGGUUUUGGGGUCAGAAAUGGGAUUUUUGAGGGGGAUUUUUGGGUUGAAAAGGGGAUGUGGGGUCAUGGGAAUUUUGGGGUGAAAAGGGGGAUUUUGGGGUAAGAAUGGGGAGAUUUGGGUGAAAAGGGGGAAUUUUGGGGUCAAGAAAAAGGAUUUUGGGUGAAAAAGGGGGAUUUUGGGGUCACGAAAAAAGGGAAUUUUGGGGUCAGAAAAAUGGGGAUGUUGGGGUUGAUAAUUAAGGGGGAUUUGGGGUCCAAUAAUGGGGAGAUUUGGGGUGAAAAAGGGGGAUUUGGGGUCAGAAAAGGGGGAUUUGGGGUCAGAAAUGGGAUUUUUUGAGGGGGAUUUUGGUGAAAAAGGGGGAUUGGGGUCAAAUGGGGUUUUGGCAAAAAAGGGCCAUUUUGGGUAGAAAAGGGGAUUGGGUCAAUGGGUUUUGGGUCAGAAGCAGGCUUUGUGGGGGG
ensembl:lncRNA